GACGGAGGAUGCAAGCGUUAUCCGGAAUGAUUGGGCGUAAAGCGUCCGCAGGUGGCAGUUCAAGUCUGCUGUCAAAGACCGGGGCUUAACUUCGGAAAGGCAGUGGAAACUGAACAGCUAGAGUAUGGUAGGGGCAGAGGGAAUUCCUGGUGUAGCGGUGAAAUGCGUAGAUAUCAGGAGGAACACCGGUGGCGAAGGCGGCUUUCUGGACAGAUACCGACGCUGAGGCACGAAAGCUAGGGGAGCAAACAGG
rnacentral:rRNA from 1 species